rnacentral:rRNA from 1 species
CAGUCGUACCUGCGGAUAAUCAGCCUUUAGGAUGCGAUUUUGUGGAGCGUGAGGAGCUAAUCGCCUUCAUGCCUAUAUAUUCGUGUACUUUGGGUGUACUUGCCUGUGUGGUUAGUUAACAUCAAUUUUGGGCGACCGGAAAAGGNUGAGAGGAAUGUGGCAGCUUGCU